GAGGACAUAGCUCAGUGGUAGAGUUUAUGCUUAGCAUGCACGAGGUUCCGGGUUCAAUCCCCAGUACCUCA
rnacentral:tRNA from 1 species